rnacentral:rRNA from 1 species
UACGUAGGGUGCGAGCGUUGUCCGGAAUUAUUGGGCGUAAAGGGCUCGUAGGCGGUUUGUCGCGUCGGGAGUGAAAACACUCGGGCUUAACUCGGUGCUUGCUUUCGAUACGGGCAGACUAGAGGCAUGCAGGGGAGAACGGAAUUCCUGGUGUAGCGGUGAAAUGCGCAGAUAUCAGGAGGAACACCGGUGGCGAAGGCGGUUCUCUGGGCAUGUCCUGACGCUGAGGAGCGAAAGUGUGGGGAGCGAACAGG